CAUAGGUCAUAGUGAGGGAGUCACAUGGCUGUGUGGCCAUGACUGUCAGUCAACAGAAGAGAUACCAGUGGAUUCAGGUUUGGUUCCAUUUUCAUGGAGCAACACAGUGGAAACAGCUCAGUUCUAAGGUUCCUCCUUUUCACAUGGAAUCUCUCUUGACCCGAAUCUCUGGUCCUGGACUUCAGAGCCUUUCCUCUUCCUCAACACUUCAUGUUUAUAUUUUAAAUAUUCCCCUUGCUCCCCAUAUUUGAGUUCUUCUGAAGAAG
rnacentral:lncRNA from 1 species